rnacentral:rRNA from 1 species
CGGGACGGGUGAGUAAUGUCUGGGAAACGUGCCUGAUGGAGGGGGGUAACUACUGGAAACGGUAGCUAAUACCGCAUAACGUCGCAAGACCAAAGAGGGGGACCUUAGGGCCUCUUGCCAUCGGAUGUGCCCAGAUGGGAUUAGCUAGUAGGUGGGGUAAAGGCUCACCUAGGCGACGAUCCCUAGCUGGUCUGAGAGGAUGACCAGCCACACUGGAACUGAGACACGGUCCAG